rnacentral:rRNA from 1 species
UACGUAGGGUGCGAGCGUUAAUCGGAAUUACUGGGCGUAAAGUGUGCGCAGGCGGCCGAGCAAGUCGAGUGUGAAAGCCCCGAGCUUAACUUGGGAACUGCGUUCGAAACUACUUGGCUAGAGUGUGGCAGAGGGAGGUGGAAUUCCACGUGUAGCGGUGAAAUGCGUAGAGAUGUGGAGGAACACCGAUGGCGAAGGCAGCCUCCUGGGCCAACACUGACGCUCAUGCACGAAAGCGUGGGGAGCAAACAGG